rnacentral:rRNA from 1 species
UACGGGGGGGGCAAGCGUUGUUAGGAAUUACUGGGCGUAAAGGGCUUGUAGGCGGCCAACUAAGUCCGACGUGAAAUCCCCAGGCUUAACCUGGGAACUGCGUCGGAUACUGGAUGGCUUGAAUUCGGGAGAGGGAUGCAGAAUUCCAGGUGUAGCGGUGAAAUGCGUAGAUAUCUGGAGGAAUACCGGUGGCGAAGGCGGCAUCCUGGACCGACAUUGACGCUGAGGAGCGAAAGCUAGGGGAGCAAACGGG